CCUACGGGUGGCAGCAGUCGAGAAUCAUGCACAAUGGGGGAAACCCUGAUGGAGCGACGCCGCGUGGGGGAAUGAAGGUCUUCGGAUUGUAAACCCCUGUCAUGUGGGAGCAAAUUAAAAAGAUAGUACCACAAGAGGAAGAGACGGCUAACUCUGUGCCAGCAGCAGCGGUAAUACAGAGGUCUCAAGCGUUGUUCGGAAUCACUGGGCGUAAGGCGUGCGGAGGCUGUUUCGUAAGUCGGGUGUGAAAGGCGCGGGCUCAACCCGCGGACGGCACAUGAUACUGCGAGACUAGAGUAAUGGAGGGGGAACCGGAAUUCUCGGUGUAGCCGUGAAAUGCGUAGAUAUCGAGAGGAACACUCGUGGCGAAGGCGGGUUCCUGGACAUUAACUGACGCUGAGGCACGAAGGCCAGGGGAGCGAAAGGGAUUAGAUACCCGGGUAGUC
rnacentral:rRNA from 1 species